rnacentral:rRNA from 1 species
CGGCCGCGUCGACGCAUCGGCUAAUUCCGUGCCAGCAGCCGCGGUAAUACGGAAGAUGCGAGCGUUAUCCGGAUUUAUUGGGUUUAAAGGGAGCGUAGGCCGGCGGUUAAGUCAGCGGUCAAAUUGGGUGGCUCAACCAUCCCCCGCCGUUGAUACUGGCCGCCUUGAGUGUAUUCAAGGCAGAUGGAAUUCGUGGUGUAGCGGUGAAAUGCUUAGAUAUCACGAAGAACUCCGAUUGCGAAGGCAGUCUGCUGGGUUACAACUGACGCUGAGGCUCGAAAGUGCGGGUAUCAAACAGGAUUAGAUACCCUGGUAGUCCGCACAGUAAACGAUGAAUGCUCGUCCUUGGCGAUAUACGGUCAGGGACCAAGCGAAAGCAUUAAGCAUUCCACCUGGGGAGUACGCCGGCAACGGUGAAACUCAAAGGAAUUGACGGGGGCCCGCACAAGCGGAGGAACAUGUGGUUUAAUUCGAUGAUACGCGAG